rnacentral:rRNA from 1 species
GACGUAGGGGGCCAGCGUUGCUCGGAAUUACUGGGCGUAAAGGGUUCGUAGGCGGUGUGGCAAGUCGGGAGUGAAAUCUCUGGGCUUAACUCAGAGGCUGCUUCCGAAACUGCCGUGCUAGAGUGCGGGAGAGGCGAGUGGAAUUGCAGGUGUAGCGGUGAAAUGCGUAGAUAUCGGAAGGAACAUCAGUGGCGAAAGCGGCUUCCUGGUCCAGCACCGACGUUCAGGCACGAAAGCGUGGGGAGCAAACAGG